AGGCUUGGGGUAACGAUGUAAUACACUGUUCCAAGACAAAAGAUGAAGAAAAAAUAAGCAAACUUAUGGUCAGCUGGUCAAUUCGAAAGUAGUUAGGAUGUAAAGGGCAUGAAUAUGGUUAAAUGCUGAAGAUAUAUAAAUCUGUUGUAUCUAGAAUGGGGAUCAAAACUGAAGAUUAAAAGAAAAAACUCCCCAUCUGCUCAUCUACAAAUUGUCAUGAUUCUUUACGUAAAGAUUUUGAAGAAGGGAAUUCUACAGUUUAAUAACAAAUGCAAAAGAAGUUUUGUAAUUCAACAAGAAGUAACAGCUGCGCAUGCACACUACAACAAAAAAGCCUUUUGGCGGUAAUUAUUUGGUGGCAAUAAGAUAAUUGCCGCUAAUUCGCUUAAUAAAAUGGCAAUUGACCAUUUGCCGUUAAUAAAAACAUUUUUGUGGCAAUAGAGAAGAACAGACUAAAGAUCAUUUUUUAUGUCUUCGCUCCAUUUUUUCCCUCCAUUGAGAUGAAUGUUUUAUUCUCUUCAGAAUCAAUUUACUCAAUUAGUCCUUUUUGCCAAACAAAAUUUUGCUCAUAUAACACUUUGAGCGAUCGUGAUACCAUCUCCGAUCAAUCUCCGACGAACUCGCUAUGUUUUUCUCCGGUGAAAAUGACUGGUAAAUUCUUCCAUUUUCUAUCCUCCCUCACGUUCUCGAGCAUUUGUUAGGGUUUCUGUUCUCACAGUUCCAAAAUCAGUAAUAAUCUAGCGCCUUAUUUUUUAGAGCAAAAUCGGGGAAUGAAAUUGAGAGUAGCGAUGUUCCAAGGUGUUUUGAUUGAUUUGAGAGAGCAGAGAAAGAAAAUAAUGUUGCUUGUUACGUUCUGAGAGCAAAAAUCGGUGUAUGUCAUGUUGGUCGAGCAUUUUUGCGGCUAACUUGUUUGUGAAAAUGCCUCUCAGACUACUUGACAUUAGUUGUGGAAUUUUUAGUGUAUCGAGCACUGUUGCUACUGCGUUUGGCAUGAAAUGAGUAGUUAUAUUCUCACAGUAAUUUUGGUAAAAAUUACAGGCUGUGUUGCUAUCUCGGGUAUAAAGGAAGUGCGAUAUGAAUGGUAAUUGAUAGAUUUGUUCUUGUUAUGAUAUAGCUUUUAUGUAAAUCAUGGGAUUAGCAGGUGUUGUAAGCUCGACAGUCAGCACCUGAUAGGGAAUAGUCUGAUGUGCUUAUGCUCUACAAUAAAACCUCCGUUAGGCUUUAUGUCGGCUCAUUAGAACAUCGUGAAAAUGCCUUAAAUUUAAGUUGAAUUUCAUUUUCUUAAUACAAUGUUUAUACCAAGUCUGAAGCAAUCUAAAAUUAUUACCGUUAUACGUAGUUCGUUUAAGGUUCAAUAUUUUUGUAUGAUUAUUUGCACAACUGUAUUAGCAGGUUACAAAAAAAUAUUUAAUAUCUUCUCGAGUUGGAAUGCUAGUUCAGUAUUGAUGAGAAUUAAGGUGUAAGUAUUGAACUGAUUACUUGGUGAAAUAUGAUCAUUGCUUUCAGAUGGACUCAUGGGUUUUACAGUUUGUUUGGAAUAACCUUCAUAACGUUUUUUCUGCAGCAAAGGAAGAGAAGGAUACACUAUAUGAAGUACAACUAAUUUCCAACACAACACUAUAGAUUACUGGCAUCUCUUUUGGAGUCGCAGCUGUUGUUUCUAUUAAAGUUGGUAAGAGACCUGAGAAUGUUGGAAAGCUUAUAACGGUGCUACUCUAAGAAGUAUACUGAUGGAGUGAUGGACCAAGGAUUGAUCUUCUAGACAAAGCGUAAGCAUGGUAGAUCAUUGGAUAAGGAGUCUUCAAACACAGUUGGAUUUAAACAAGAAUAUUUGACUCAAGAUCAUGCAAAGAUAGAUGUCGAGAAUAUCACAUCCUUAAUAAGGGAGAAGAAGAUCAAGAACAUCGCAUUGUUAAUAAGGGAUGUGGUCUACAACCUAAAGUUUAGUUGUCUUGUACAUUAUGAUACUUGCAUCUUUUACAAGUCGCUAUAUGAGUUGGUGUGUUGAGUUUGAUAGUUCUUGUUUUAAGUGAAUGACAUUAUGAGUUUGAUAAUUCUUCUAGUAAGAACCUUGUAACUGAUUGUUCUUAUGUUUGAUAUUAUAAAAUAGUACUUGGUUAAA